CCUACGGGUGGCAGCAGUGAGGAAUAUUGGUCAAUGGGCGCGAGCCUGAACCAGCCAAGUCGCGUGAGGGAUGAAGGUUCUAUGGAUCGUAAACCUCUUUUAUAAGGGAAUAAAGUGUGGGACGUGUCCUAUUUUGUAUGUACCUUAUGAAUAAGGAUCGCCUAACUCCGUGCCAGCAGCCGCGGUAAUACGGAGGAUCCGAGCGUUAUCCGGAUUUAUUGGGUUUAAAGGGUGCGUAGGCGGCCUUUUAAGUAGGCGGUGAAAGUCUGUGGUUCACCCAUAGAAUGGCCGUUGAAACUGGGGGGCGUGAGUAUAUUUGAGGCGGGCGGAAGGCGUGGUGUAGCGGUGAAAUGCUUAGAUAUCACGAAGAACCCCGAUUGCGAAGGCAGCCUGCCAAGCCAUGACUGACGCUGAUGCACGAAAGCGUGGGGAUCAAACAGGAUUAGAUACCCCAGUAGUC
rnacentral:rRNA from 1 species